UAUACACUAAUUCCUCGGUGUCAGUCAAAAAGGAGGAAGGAUACCUAUAUUUUAUGUCUGUAUCAAACUCAGUUACUAGAAUAGUAAUGUACCGAAAAGUCAAAAAUUUAUUAACUGCUGCAUUUGUGUUGUUGUUUUCACACAAGAUGCUAUGGGCUCAGAAGGAAAAGUGCGCAGAACUCGAGAUCUACUCAACAAGUGCCGACAGUAUAUUUAUCUCAGAAAACGACUUCAUUAACUUGUCUUUUGGAACAAACGUGUCCGCCUGUACGCAAGCUGGAUGUAGUCUUUAAAAUAGUCGUCAAGACCCAAUAGGUGCGGGUAUUAUUGAAGAGGAUGGCCGGGUGGAGUUGACGAAAGAUAGAUGUAAUGUUACAUCAGUCCAGCAUGUCACGUGCACUGGUCACAAUGGCGUGGCUGAGCUCUACAGACAGGUGAACACAUCUCAUGUAGCCAUAGAACUGACAAUGUGGUGGAAAGAAGACAUUCGGUAUAAGCUUCAACGGAAAAAACUUCAGCUUCAUGUUUCUCGCUCAUCAACAGACUCUUUUCCGACUGAUGAAAUUUCUCCAGUCGGCGAUAUUCCCCGAACAAAGAGAGGAAAUCAAACGAUAAAUACAGCACAGGAUUUUAAUGGGCUAGGUGAGUAAUUAAUUAAUUUAAACAUUUGAUGUAUCACUUCUGUUGGUCAAAAAGAGCAUGAACAACUCUUCCUAUCAUGUGUUACUUCAAUAUCAUUGGCAUGAUGUAGAGUUAUACAGAUGGUUUAAACAUCAUGGUGCAAUUUGGUGAUUUGGUUGGCGAUUUGGACUUUUCUCCAACUUCCACAAUUGGAAGGGAAAGAAUAAAACCUGACCUAAUGUUUUCAGCUCGCAGCUACAAAGUCAUGAUUAACAUAGUUAUAGUUAGGCAUCUACCUUUCAGUGCAACAAUAAGCUGAGAGAUCUACAAACAGGUUCUACAUCCUCCGUGUCCACACCUGUGGCCAGCGUGUCAAAGAGGACCUGGAGGUGGUCCAAUGUUGGGGCCAGACCAUACAUGGGGGUCAGCACUGUCUUGUAUUUGUCACACUGGACACACAAGGUGUUGAUAUGACAACAAUUGCAGUUUAGUGACAAGAGACAGUGCUAACCUCUGUAAGGUCUGGAAGAACCGUCCUGACACUGCGACUAGAGUGGUUCAGAAACUGUGAUGACGAGUCGUGAUAUCUGCGUUUUAGCAAAAAAAUAACUUCUGAGCUUGCUGCCCUGUCUUCAGAAGUUGUAACCAAUUUGUUUACCUCGGCUUUUUUUACCCUGAUCUGACAACAUUUCUUGAGGUUAAAAAAAAACAAAUGAAAAAAGGACCAAAAAGGCUGAGGACAGGAAAACCCACAUUCAACUGAUGCUUGAUCUCCAGUCUAACCAAAUGGGUGAGUAGUUUUCAUAGUCUAAAUAUACAUAUGCCUUUCCAUGCAUCAAAGCUACAUUUUUUUCAGUUAAUAAGACACCAAACCAAUGGUGUAAUAAUUUGUUGGCAACAAAUUUAUCUUGUUCAAACAGCUUUAAUCCUAUUGUUUCUGUUGUACAUAAACGAAAUUCUAUGUUAUAUUUAUGUUCAGUUUUCUUGUGGUUUUGCUAACCUUUUUUCGCUUUAGGGGUACAAACGAUGCGAUUGGUGAAAUGGUGUGAGAGCUCACAAUGUUGGGAGUGGAGACUGUGUGAGUAGUUCUGGGUAUCUUUAAAUCCAGAAAAACUUGAACAUUAAAAUUAUUUUAAUGCUUGAAUAUCAGUUCCGUGAUGUUCAGUUGCCAAUUCAGAGACAUCUUUCGGGACGAAAUCUCAAAUAGUAUUAUUCUUUAACUUACAAACGUAUAUGGCUUUGUAAAUUUUUCUUUGAAUGAAUAUUCAUGCAUCAAGUUUGGUUAAAAUGUUUCAUCAGGUUUUAUACACUUUUCUUAUUUCCAUGAGAUAAACGCAGAUAUAUUCCUCCUCUUUAUCUCAUUUAAUAAAAACAACUGCGCUGUAUCAUGCUAAUACACACUUUUUAAGAAUAAACUUUUUCCUGUAAUUAUUUAAUUCAGUGACAGGUUUCUACAGUUGUGAUGGUUUGUUGAUAGUAAAAGGAGACAAAAAUUAAGAAAAAAAGCAAGAUUACAAAACGUUUUUGGUUUCAGUAACAAAAACAAAAACAAAAACAAAAAAAAACUCUCCAAAACAUUGACUGUAAAACAACUAACCCAGACAACAGUUCGAAUAUUCCUGGUUAUUUAGCAUUUGUCUCUCCAUCAUUAUGACCACGGUAUUUGUCAUUUGGUACAAUGGGAAGAACGCAAAGAGACGGUAAGUGAA